GGAGAUGUAGUUCAAUGGUAGAACUUCAGCCUUCCAAGCUGACUAUGCGGGUUCGAUUCCCGUCAUCUCCU
rnacentral:tRNA from 1 species